AUGUUCUUAUGGAUUGUUGGAGGCCCUCAAUCAUUUGCUCAAGCCGAGAACCAUUUUAUACGGUCACUUUGGACAGUUCAUACAAAGUUUAAGGAAGUUUUGUUAUGUUUGCGCAAGUUAGCGAAAGAUAACAUCAAACCUACAGAUCCUACUUUUAUCCAUGAGCAUGAAAAGAUUAAGGAAGAGCGUUUCUGGCCCCAUUUCAAAGGUGCUAUUGGUGCCAUAGAUGGAUCACAUGUGCCAGUUUCAGUGCCUGCAGAUGAUGUGGUUAACCAUAGAUGCCGGCAUGGUUUUACAUCUCAGAAUGUGCUUGCAGUAUGUGACUUUGACAUGAGGUUUACCUUUAUGGUUGCGGGUUGGCCGGGCUGUGCACGUGAUACAUGGGUCUUGAAUCACGCAUUAGCACACUUCCCUUCAUUUCAUAUACCUCCCAAAGGUAUAAUGUACUGA
rnacentral:rRNA from 1 species